rnacentral:rRNA from 1 species
AAACGAUAUUGGAAGCUUGCUUCCGAUAGGCGUCGACCGGCGCACGGGUGAGUAACGCGUAUCCAACCUGCCCAUCACUUGGGGAUAACCUUGCGAAAGUAAGACUAAUACCCAAUGAUAUCUCUAGAAGACAUCUGAAGGAGAUUAAAGAUUUAUCGGUGAUGGAUGGGGAUGCGUCUGAUUAGCUUGUUGGCGGGGUAACGGCCCACCAAGGCGACGAUCAGUAGGGGUUCUGAGAGGAAGGUCCCCCACAUUGGAACUGAGACACGGUCCAAACUCCUACGGGAGGCAGCAGUGAGGAAUAUUGGUCAAUGGACGAGAGUCUGAACCAGCCAAGUAGCGUGCAGGAUGACGGCCCUAUGGGUUGUAAACUGCUUUUAUAAGGGAAUAAAGUGAGAGUCGUGACUCUUUUUGCAUGUACCUUAUGAAUAAGGACCGGCUAAUUCCGUGCCAGCAGCCGCGGUAAUACGGAAGGUCCGGGCGUUAUCCGGAUUUAUUGGGUUUAAAGGGAGCGUAGGCCGGAGAUUAAGCGUGUUGUGAAAUGUAGAUGCUCAACAUCUGCACUGCAGCGCGAACUGGUUUCCUUGAGUACGCACAAAGUGGGCGGAAUUCGUGGUGUAGCGGUGAAAUGCUUAGAUAUCACGAAGAACUCCGAUUGCGAAGGCAGCUCACUGGAGCGCAACUGACGCUGAAGCUCGAAAGUGCGGGUAUCGAACAGGAUUAGAUACCCUGSUAGUCCGCACGGUAAACGAUGGAUGGCCCGCUGKUGGUCUGAAUAGGUCAGCGGCC